rnacentral:rRNA from 1 species
GACAGAGGGUGCAAACGUUGUUCGGAAUUACUGGGCGUAAAGCGCGUGUAGGCGGUCUCGCAAGUCGGAUGUGAAAGCCCAGGGCUCAACCCUGGAAGUGCACUCGAUACUGCGAGGCUAGAGUCCCGGAGAGGAUGGUGGAACUCUCGGUGUAGAGGUGAAAUUCGUAGAUAUCGAGAAGAACACCGGUGGCGAAGGCGGCCAUCUGGACGGUGACUGACGCUGAGACGCGAAAGCGUGGGGGGCAAACAGG